rnacentral:tRNA from 2 species
GGGAUAUUAGCUCAGUCGGUAGAGCACCUGACUUUUAAUCAGGUUGUCGGGGGUUCGAAUCCCCCAUAUCUCA